UACGUAGGGUGCGAGCGUUAAUCGGAAUUACUGGGCGUAAAGCGUGCGUAGGCGGUUAUGCAAGUCGAGUGUGAAAUCCCCGGGCUCAACCUGGGAACUGCAUUCGAGACUGCAUGACUUGAGUAUGGGAGAGGGAGGCGGAAUUUCAGGUGUAGCGGUGAAAUGCGUAGAUAUCUGAAGGAACAUCAGUGGCGAAAGCGGCCUCCUGGACCAAUACUGACGCUCAUGUGCGAAAGCGUGGGGAGCAAACAGGAUUAGAUACCCCAGUAGU
rnacentral:rRNA from 1 species